AUUGAUGCAGCGGAUUACAACCCAAGAAGUUAGUUUCUCUCUCUGUAACGAACUUUGAAGAACAGGGGCUUGCUCUUCCCCCGGUUUCGUCGCCGGAAAAGCCUCCGAUCCGACUUCCACGAUUGGCAACUGAUUGAAACUAAGCCAUUAUCUGCAUUGUCACAGCAUUUAUUCGAAUAUCCAGAAACUUCAUUCAACUACUUGAAAAGGCUGGGGCCAAGGAGGAAACGAGUUAGAAGUCUGUAAGUGAUGGCCGCGGUCCAUGGCUGAUUCUUCCAACUCUUCUCAUAUGCCUCCUUGCCACUGGAGCUGUCACUGAUACAAGUAUCGGACAUGCAACUGUGGAACAGCUAUUGCUAUGCCUUCUUUACUUGGCAUGUGUCUGCACCUGCACGAGUACACCCCUGAUGAGGAGGCUGAGUGUAAGCUUUAUACUUAUACUUUCAUAAGGUUAUCGACGAAUAUUAUCUGCCGGUUUUCUUUGGAUUUUUGUGUUGAAGAAGAUGAAUUUAUAGUAGUUCUUGUUUUAGUCUUUGGUUUAAGAAACAGUGUGAACAAUUGGUUUCUGAUGGGACCUUUACCAGCCCUCAACCAGCAUACUUAAUUUUGUUUCUACAGUACCUUCUAAAAAAAACUAUUCGAGCUUUUUUGAUGCAUAGUACGAUUGCUAGUUAGGCAACUUCCCUGCCUAUCUUUCUG